AUGCUUCUCCUAAAGACUAAGCCAUGCAUGCCUUCGAAUAGAAGAGCUUUCUCUCUGAAUCUGCGAACGGCUCCGCAAACCAGUUGUAAACUAUAGCAAGCUCGCUUAGGGGUUCUGGCCUUCGGGUUAGGCCUCUAGGUGAUAAGGAUAUCCUUGGUAAUUCUGAGGCUAAUACAAGAACGUACCACCCGGCCAGCCGGUAACGGCAGGCUAGGGUGUGUGCAAGUUAAUCUAGGCAAUAUUUUGCCAGGAGAGGAUGCACGCUCGGACCACCAUACCAAACAGUUAGGCUUGCCUGAUCCCCCCUCGGGGGGAAACGGCAGAUCUUUCUGGGUGGCUCUUGCUAUGUGCUUCUGACCUAUCAACUAGAUGGCAGCGUAACGGACAUGCUAUGGUAACAACGGGUACAGAGGAUAAGGGUUCGAUCCUGGAGAGUGGGCCUGAGAGAUCGCUCACACUUCUAAGGAAGGCAGCAGGCGCGCAACGUUCCCAAUGGACAAUGUCCGAGGGCGUUAGGGGACAUAUGAAUGCCUGCCUUAUGGUAGGCAAUUCAAAUGGGUUUGUUCUAAACAGCCCU
rnacentral:rRNA from 1 species